AAUUGCGUAAGCUCAUUAUUGUAAUUGAUUAUUUCUAAUAUGAAGCUUGUGAAAUGUUUUCCAUUUGGUUUUGAAGGCCAAAUAUUUGGCUUGUCACAGGUCUAUGAAGAAAACAUGGAGAUUCAGGUGUUUGAUGAAAUGUACGACCAUUCUAUACAUAUUUAUUCCUAGAAUACAGGAAACAAUUUCACAAUUCGAUGAUCAUUUAUGUAUAGUGCAAUUGUCAGUGAAAAACUCCUUAAUAUUAUGGUUUAUGCAGAACCUAUUAAUUUUCUGAAGCAAAUUGUGCUACUAAUACACCUUGAAUUGGGUCUAUUUACCAUCAUGAUAAUCUUUACAACUCACUUGUUGAUCCACUUAGGAUUACAGUUGGCGCAUGCCUUGGAUGUAUCAGUCUUUGAGAGAAAAGCUUUGCAGUCCAUUACUGUCCGUUAACAACUUAUCACUUUUCCUUUUUCUCUUGGAUGUAUAAAAUGGAAACUUAAGUUGAGUAAUAGGGUAUAUUUUUGCAGUGAAUUUGGUCAUAACUUUCUCUUUAGAUUAUUUAGAAUGGUUAGGAUUUUUUUUUUCAUUUUGUCUAUCUCCACAUAACAUUUGGUCAAUUUGACGAUGGCUGUUCUUUCCCGUUUGACACUUCUUUCCCUUGUAGAGAAACAUUGGUAAGAACAAAGUCAAAGCUGCCAUUAGAGCUCAUCAAGGCCAGCAGAUUGACAAAGUAAUACUGCUGCACACUUAGAGUUCUGCUGCAGAGUAAGACACAUGUUGCGAUAGUCAUUCCUUUUAUUUUCCUUUACAGAUUAUGCAAGGACAUUGAAAUCUGUUCAAAUGCUCAGUAAAUAUAUCUAUUGCAUUCAAUUAGUGACUGUAAGUACUCCUAAAAUUUGAGUAAUAAUGAGUGAGCUUGCCGGUUGUCCUCAGUCCAAUCACAUAUCAACGAUAAAAGACAAUCUGUGAGUCUGUCCCUUAAUGUAAUCCGUAGAAGUCCAUCCACAGUUUAUAUUUGAUCUCAUAUUUAUGUUUAGCAAAAGAAUUCACUGGUAUAUCUUAGAGGAAGGAAAUAUAUAUUGUUAGAUUGAGAAAUGGCAACAUUGCUAUCUUGAAGCUUAUAUUUUAGACUCAACGUAUUAAUGUUAGAUAAUUUUUUUUAAAAUAUGACAGGCUUUUUAGUCAUACUUUUAUGUUCUUGAUUAGUAUGACAAACAUCUUACUUCGUUACUCUUCUUUUGCUGUCAGCUCUGUUGAAAUGAUGAUUUCUUCUGUCUUUAUUCAUCUGCACCUUCCUCUACUUAUUCUGACUUUUUAUUUAGCUUCAAAAGUGAGUCUCAUGGUGGCUAGGCACAGUGCUUCUUUGGAAGGAAGCUCCUGUUCGUAAAAAUUUGUUCACUUCAUUCUUCAGUUUUGAUUACUAACUUUUACGAUCUUUUAAUUUAUCAUCCAGAUAUUUUAGAUGUUGGCCCCUAUUUCCUCUUUUGAUGAGCUGAUCAUUUGCCUUCAUGAAGGAGAUAAAUUACUGUGUGAGAGGACAAUCAAAAGUUGUGCACCCUUCUGCAGAAGUUUUGCCACCCUGUCAGACCAUUUCAAUGUGAAACUAGGAUCCUCUUUCACAAUUAGGUAAACAACCAAGCUAACAGAGUCCCCAAUUAUAUUAAGCUCAGGAUGUUAUGUGGGUUUCUAAGCCAUCUUUUUCCAUCUGAGUUGGACUAACAUUGACUAUCUUAUAUGUAGAACAGGCAAGAAUCUUAAAUUUGUGACUUUUGUAUCUCAAGUAUGAUGUUUAUGCAGAUGUAAUUUAUUGAUCUACAUGAGCUACAUCUUUUGUGACCAAUGAAGUUAGGGAAUCAGGAUUGCCAACCGAGCCCUGGAUAUACGUAGCGUGUUUCAACAUGGUUCCAGUGUCCUGACUACUACAUGUUUGCAACAUUGGAAAUGUAGCACAGUGGAGCAUUUUUCCAUGAUCCAUUGCCUUGAAAUAUUGGCAUUAUUGGAGGCACUUAUAGUUUUCACUGUGAUCUUGAAUUAACAGAAGGAAAUUUGAGUAGUUGGGUGAUGGAAGCUUCAUGGGUUGAACAUCUAAGAACCAAGGAGAAGUUAAAACAGUGUCCUUCAUUAGGAGACUCUUCCAUGUGUCACGCAGAAGCAUCAUCCUCUGUGACAAUUGAGUCCCUCCAGAAUCUAUUUGUACUAAUAUUGAAGUUUAAAUGCACAAUCUUUUGUUUGUUCAUGAUUGAAAGCCCAUUGGUCUCUUUAGUAGGAUUGGGCUGAUGGCAUUCUGUCAGACGAUAGUGAUGAGGCAUUAUUGCCUGAGAUGGUAUAUAUGGGUUUCAUCUACAUGCAGGUCACUGAAGCAUACACUAUCUAAGAUCUGCUACCGGCUGGAGAUGCCUACACCUGUCGUCAGGAAUAGGGGCAUUCAUAUUGGACGAAAGAAGCCUCUGUUUUCCAUCUCUACUAUGGAGUUAAACCAUGUGAAGAGCAUCAGUGUGCUGCUGAAUAUAUCAUCAUAUAACACUUGUUUCUUCCUCGUACUAGUAGAAAAACAUCUGUAGAAGAUGAAAUGGAUUCGCCAGAGGAGGUCAUUUUAUCAUAUAGUGUCUGUUUUGCUUAAUGGCUAAGCUUAAAUGACCAUAAUUUUGUUUCUUUGUCAUUGCAGGAAUAUGAUUUCAGGAGCUGUCAAAAAAUGAUGUCCAUCUGAAGCCACAGACAGCUCUUUGAAUACGGUAUCAAUCAAUCAAUCCAGAGCCAUCAACGAAUGCUGGCCUGCACAUGGCUCACCUGGUCAUCAUCCGACAUGAUAUCUUCCUGAUGAUACGGGGAGGAUUGCUAGUCCUGAAAACUCGAUCAUGCUUGCCCUGUAAUUGUGAGCUUCCUACAGGCAGCUCGUCAUCUAAAAGCCAUCCUAUCCUAUCCUUCGCAGCCCAAGUUAAAACACUCGAAGAAGAUUAGCACUACUGGGGAAGAGAGAGAAUCUAGCUUAUUUUUCCUGGAACUUGUGAUCUUUUUAUGGAGCUUAUAGUUUGCUGUUUCCGGUGCAGCCCCACUCGCUGAUACAACUCUUCUUUCUUCCCCGGAGAACAAAAGGAGGAGACCGACUGUUCUGGUAGAAUAAAAGCCGCAUGGCCCGAGUCACAUCAUAUGACUGUCGUCGUCUUCACUUCACUGCCUUCCCUUCAUUCAUGCGCUUCGACUUGAGGUACUUCCAAAAGGUCGUACGUUCGACGUCGAGACUUCCAAUUUCAUUUAUAGUUCGAAUUUAUGACAAUUAUUGUAUUCGAAUCGAUGGCCGAUAGUGGGUGGUAUUCGCAUCUAUUCACAUCGUCCACUUCAUGCGUGAAGAUUCUCAUUAUCAUGUUGAUCUAUAAUCAAAUGUGUUUUUUUAUUGAUUAGUUAACUCGUCCGUAAUCAUCGGUGGUUGUCUACAAAGACUGCUGCUAUAGAAGUA